rnacentral:rRNA from 1 species
AUUGAACGCUGGCGGCAUGCCUUACACAUGCAAGUCGAACGGUAACGCGGGGCAACCUGGCGACGAGUGGCGAACGGGUGAGUAAAGCAUCGGAACGUGCCCAGUAGUGGGGGAUAGCCCGGCGAAAGCCGGAUUAAUACCGCAUACGACCUAUGGGUGAAAGGGGGGGAUCGCAAGACCUCUCGCUAUUGGAGCGGCAGAUGUCAGAUUAGGUAGUUGGUGGGGUAAAGGCCCACGAAGCCGACGAUCUGUAGCUGGUCUGAGAGGACGACCAGCCACACUGGGACUGAGACACGGCCCAGACUCCUACGGGAGGCAGCAGUGGGGAAUUUUGGACAAUGGGCGCAAGCCUGAUCCAGCCAUGCCGCGUGCGGGAAGAAGGCCUUCGGGUUGUAAACCGCUUUUGUCAGGGAAGAAAUCCUUUGGGUUAAUACCUCGGGGGGAUGACGGUACCUGAAGAAUAAGCACCGGCUAACUACGUGCCAGCAGCCGCCGUAA